ACGCACGCUGGCGGCGUGCCUAAUACCUGCAAGUAGCACGCUGAAGGAGGAGCUUGCUUCUCUGGAUGAGUUGCGAACGGGUGAGUAACGCGUAGGUAACCUGCCUGGUAGCGGGGGAUAACUAUUGGAAACGAUAGCUAAUACCGCAUAAUAGUAGAUGUUGCAUGACAUUUGCUUAAAAGGUGCAAUUGCAUCACUACCAGAUGGACCUGCGUUGUAUUAGCUAGUUGGUGAGGUAACGGCUCACCAAGGCAACGAUACAUAGCCGACCUGAGAGGGUGAUCGGCCACACUGGGACUGAGACACGGCCCAGACUCCUACGGGAGGCAGCAGUAGGGAAUCUUCGGCAAUGGACGGAAGUCUGACCGAGCAACGCCGCGUGAGUGAAGAAGGUUUUCGGAUCGUAAAGCUCUGUUGUAAGAGAAGAACGAGUGUGAGAGUGGAAAGUUCACACUGUGACGGUAUCUUACCAGAAAGGGACGGCUAACUACGUG
rnacentral:rRNA from 1 species